CGAAGUUCAGGGCAAACCUGCCAAAAGGCAGGGACGCAAAGCCGAGGGUCUAAGGCGUAUGUCACGCUAUGACAGCCUGGUUGCCGAU
rnacentral:ncRNA from 1 species